AUGGAAACCUAUUGGCUUUUUGCUUCUUUUUAUGGCCAAAAAUGGGUGAUACCUGAGGGACCGUUUUGUAUCAGCCAAUUUUCUUUUUCUACAUCAGUGAAAGGUGCUGUAAGGAGAAUCAUUAUGAAUUUGGCCAGCUCCAUCAGGAAAGGCAUCAAAUAGAUCUUGUCUGGUUUAACUCCCUGAACUCCCUGAGGCAGUGUUUCCUCAGCAAAACUACAAUUGAUGUUGCUGCUGAAUAAGGACUUUGGGAUUGCGUCAUAGGAUAAACUCCAAAUAGCCCUCCAGCAAAAUGAGUUCUUUGUUGAAGUUGCUGGAUGGAUAUUCCUUUUUAUCUUCACAAGUCCUGGAGGAACAGCAGUGGAUUCCCUGCCUUAUUUCAUCUCCUGGUCUGAUCCAUUAUGUCAACCUUAUGCAUAAGAAGCAGCUCUGUUUCAUCAUUACCAUCCUUUUCUGUUGAAAUUCUACAUCGUUAGGAGUGGUUAGCCAUUGAGUAGUAUCUACUUGCUACAAAGCACUUGAAUAUGGUCUGCUCAAAUGGAAUACAUAGAAAAAUCCUCUUGUCAGAAUGACUACAAAAAUGUUGACUUUUAAAGCCAUUCUGGAUUUCAAAUACAACCUUACAGCUACAAUGCAAUAACCAACAACUUCUUCCACACUAGCAGCUUGACGAUCAUUUGUACUGCGGUACGAACUGAAGAAAGAAAUUGAAAAUAACCGGUGCUGCCUUCCCCGCGUCUCUUCCUAAAGAAAGAACGCCGCCUGUUAAUUGAAGCUCGCAUCGAAAAGAAAACGGUUUUCACAGUAAAAUGCUCUUUUGAGAGGGAAAAAAAAAGUUCAUUUUCCUCGGGAAGGGGCAGAGAUGUGAGCGAGCCUCAGCCUGCCCGCUCCGUGCCACCGACCCUACUGAAGGGGGGAAAAAAGGUGUAAAAAAAGAAUAAUAAAAAUAACCUUUCCGUCUUUUUUUUUUUUUUUUUCGGAGAGCCCCCGGGGUUGCAAUAAAAAAACCCUUAUUUUUCUCUCUUUCUGCUUUUUUUUUUUUUUUUUUUUUUUACAGUUUUUAAUUAAAAUUGAAUAAACGCUGAAGGAGAAAGCAGCGACCGCCUCCAUCCGAGUCCUACUCGGGUUUGUAACAGAAUCCAAGCGUGUGAAAAAUAAAAUAAAAUAAAAUAAAAGUAAAACCUU
rnacentral:lncRNA from 7 species